ensembl:ncRNA F53B1.14 ncRNA
CCAACCAACAUAGCAUAAACGAAUGAAUAUUCAAUUAGAGAGCAAAUAGUUCAAUGAAUGGAGAAGAGAAGCUAAACAUUAACCCCUCUUCUUUUCUUUUUUCUUCCGACAACACCACCGGAUAUUCUUGUAAUUAAUUUUAGCGU